UGAAAAGAUGUUUCCCCAAACAAGGUAUUCAAAUGGCCAAGAAGCUUAUGAAAAGAUGCUGAACAUCACUACUCAUUAGGGAAAUGCAAAU